AGCAUACCGCUGACGACCGGCGCACGGGUGAGUAACACGUAUCCAACCUACCCCCCACCUGGGGAUAGCCUUUCGAAAGAAAGAUUAAUACCCGAUCUUAUAGCGAUAAGGCAUCUUAUUGCUAUUAAAGAAUUUCGGUGUUUGAUGGGGAUGCGUUCCAUUAGAUUGUUGGUGAGGUAACGGCUCACCAAGUCUUCGAUGGAUAGGGGUUCUGAGAGGAAGGUCCCCCACAUUGGAACUGAGACACGGUCCAAACUCCUACGGGAGGCAGCAGUGAGGAAUAUUGGUCAAUGGACGAGAGUCUGAACCAGCCAAGUAGCGUGAAGGACGAAGGCCCUAUGGGUCGUAAACUUCUUUUAUAGGGGAAUAAAGUGCGGAACGUGUUCCGUUUUGUAUGUACCCUACGAAUAAGGAUCGGCUAACUCCGUGCCAGCAGCCGCGGUAAUACGGAGGAUCCGAGCGUUAUCCGGAUUUAUUGGGUUUAAAGGGAGCGUAGGUGGACGUAUAAGUCAGUUGUGAAAGUUUGCGGCUCAACCGUAAAAUUGCAGUUGAUACUGUAUGUCUUGAGUGUACAAGAGGUGGGCGGAAUUCGUGGUGUAGCGGUGAAAUGCUUAGAUAUCACGAAGAACUCCGAUUG
rnacentral:rRNA from 1 species